UCGAAACCUGCACAGCAGAACGACCCGCGAACUCGUUUACCAACCACCGAGGGUUGGGGCUUGCCUCAUCACCCUCGGAGCCGAAACGUGCUGAGAGGCGCGCGACGGCAAGUACCCAAACACCGGCGCGGGUUGCGCCAAGGACUAAGAAAUUCUACCGUGUCCCGCGGCCCUGGGUAACCGGGCGCUGUGGUGAUGGCGYGUUGAAAUAUAAGAAAAUGAACGACUCUCGGCAACGGAUAUCUCGGCUCUCGCAUCGAUGAAGAACGUAGCGAAAUGCGAUACUUGGUGUGAAUUGCAGAAUCCCGUGAACCAUCGAGUCUUUGAACGCAAGUUGCGCCCGAAGCCAUCCGGCCGAGGGCACGUCUGCCUGGGCGUCACGCAUCGCGUCGCCCCUCUCCCUCCAAUUCGGAGCGGGCAGAGGGGCGGAGUAUGGCCCCCCGUGCGCCCCCGCGCGCGGCUGGCCUAAACACGGAGCCCGUGGCCGCGAGCGCCGCGACGUUUGGUGGUUGAAUCUCGARCAUCGCGUCGCGUCGUAGUGUACUCGGAUAGCUCGAAGGACCCUUAGGCGUAGCAGCCUACCCUUGCGACCCC
rnacentral:rRNA from 1 species